AUUGAACGCUGGCGCCAUUCCUAACACAUGCAAGUCGAACGGUAACAGGAAGAAGCUUGCUUCUUUGCUGACGAGUGGCGGACGGGUGAGUAAUGUCUGGGAAACUGCCUGAUGGAGGGGGAUAACUACUGGAAACGGUAGCUAAUACCGCAUAACGUCGCAAGACCAAAGAGGGGGACCUUCGGGCCUCUUGCCAUCGGAUGUGCCCAGAUGGGAUUAGCUUGUUGGUGGGGUAACGGCUCACCAAGGCGACGAUCCCUAGCUGGUCUGAGAGGAUGACCAGCCACACUGGAACUGAGACACGGUCCAGACUCCUACGGGAGGCAGCAGUGGGGAAUAUUGCACAAUGGGCGCAAGCCUGAUGCAGCCAUGCCGCGUGUAUGAAGAAGGCCUUCGGGUUGUAAAGUACUUUCAGCGGGGAGGAAGGGAGUAAAGUUAAUACCUUUGCUCAUUGACGUUACCCGCAGAAGAAGCACCGGCUAACUCCGUGCCAGCAGCCGCGGUAAUACGGAGGGUGCAAGCGUUAAUCGGAAUUACUGGGCGUAAAGCGCACGCAGGCGGUUUGUUAAGUCAGAUGUGAAAUCCCCGGGCUCAACCUGGGAACUGCAUCUGAUACUGGCAAGCUUGAGUCUCGUAGAGGGGGGUAGAAUUCCAGGUGUAGCGGUGAAAUGCGUAGAUAUCUGGAGGAAUACCGGUGGCGAAGGCGGCCCCCUGGACGAAGACUGACGCUCAGGUGCGAAAGCGUGGGGAGCAGACAGG
rnacentral:rRNA from 1 species